CUUCUUCUCUAACUAUCUAUUAGAAUUUCUUUUCAGACGCUGCCUUACUAGCAACUUCUUAACAAAGAAGGGAAAACUAUGGCGAGCAGUAAGCAAUCGAAUUUCGAUUGCACCAAAUUGCUAACCAACACUCUCAACAACGCAAAGAAACGGUGGCGUAUUGCUUAUUUAACAAUCUGUUCUGUUCGUGCUAUGCUUUCUCUCGUAAGAGAGAUAAUUGUAUCCGAAACAAAUAGCUAUCAACACUCUGGUAUUCUGCACUCUGUUCCCUACACCAUACUUGAUGUAGAAUCGAUCAGUUCCCAAAAACAUGUACCCGUUUCCAGUAUCCCUGGUAUUGAUAAAAAAAGACUUACCGAAAUGGUAAAAGAGAAAGACUCUGCAGCUCUCCGCCAGUUUAGAGGAGUUAAAGGUGUUGCCACCGCUCUUGGGACAAACUUAGAGCAUGGAAUUGACGGUGAUGACAGUGAAGUCAGCUUGAGGCGUGACAUGUUCGGUUCCAACACUUACGAUAAGCCGCCCCCCAAGGGGUUUCUAUUUUUCGUGCUGGAUGCUUUUAAAGACACCACCAUCCUUAUCCUCCUGGUAUGCGCUGCUCUUGCGCUUGGCUUUGGAGUAAAAGAGCAUGGAGCAGAAGAAGGUUGGUAUGAAGGUGGGAGCAUCUUUGUGGCUGUGUUUCUAGUCGUUGUUGUCUCUGCUCUCAGUAAUUUUAGACAGGAAACACAAUUUUACAAGUUAUCUCGAAUAAGUAGCAAUAUCAAAAUUGAUGUUGUUAGAAAUGGACAUCGACAACAGAUCUCUAUAUUUGAUAUUGUUGUUGGAGAUGUUGUCUCCCUGAAAAUUGGAGAUCAAAUUCCAGCGGAUGGCUUGUUCUUGCAUGGGCAUUCUUUCCAGGUAGACGAGUCAAGCAUGACAGGAGAAAGCGACCAUGUUGAAGUCAAUUCCACCAGCAAUCCAUUCUUGCUUUCUGGUUCGAAAGUUGCCGAUGGAUAUGCUCGAAUGCUGGUGACAUCCGUUGGAAUGAACACUGCUUGGGGCGAAAUGAUGAGCUCAAUAACUCGUGGCUCCAAUGAAAGAACACCAUUACAAGCUCGACUUGACAAACUAACCUCUUCUAUUGGGAAGAUUGGCCUUUCGGUUGCUUUCCUAGUUCUUGUAGUCAUGUUAAUUCGCUAUUUCACAAAAAAUACAAAAAAUGAGAAUGGUAUGACAGAGUACCGAGGUAGCAAAACAGAUACAAAUGAUCUGUUAAAUUCUAUUGUUCGCAUUGUGGCUGCUGCAGUCACUAUCGUGGUCGUGGCAAUUCCAGAAGGUUUGCCGUUAGCAGUCACGCUAACUCUAGCUUACUCCAUGAAGAGAAUGAUGAAAGAUCAGGCUAUGGUCAGAAAGCUUUCGGCUUGUGAAACCAUGGGAUCUGCCACAGUUAUCUGUACUGACAAAACAGGCACUUUGACAUUAAAUCAAAUGCAAGUAACCAAGUUCUGGCUUGGUCAAGAACCCAUUGAUGAAGUUUCUUGUAGAGGAAUUUCUCCAGCCAUUCUUGAAUUGUUCCACCAAGGAGUCGGUCUGAACACAACUGGUAGCGUCUACAUUCCAGCAUCAGGUUCUGUACCAGAGUUUUCAGGUAGUCCAACUGAAAAAGCCAUUCUCUCAUGGGCAGUUUCUGAAAUGGGUAUGGACAUGGGAAGAGUGAAGCAAAGUUAUACCAUUCUCCAUGUCGAAACCUUUAAUUCAGAGAAGAAACGAAGUGGGGUUUCAAUUAAGGAAUUGGCCGACAACACCAUUCAUGUACAUUGGAAAGGUGCAGCCGAGAUGAUACUAGGGAUGUGUUCAGAUUAUUAUGAGAGCAGCGGGAUCAUAAAGUCCAUGGAUGAAGAUGGAAGAAGUAAAAUUGAGAGAAUAAUCCAAGGUAUGGCAGCUAGUAGCCUCAGAUGCAUUGCUUUUGCUCACAAAAAAAUAAGAGAAGAACUAAUAAACAAUGACAAUGGUGAAAAUAUGCGCCCAAAGCUACAAGAAGAUGGUUUGACCUUGCUAGGGAUUGUGGGUAUCAAGGAUCCAUGUCGACCAGGAGCCAAGAAAGCUGUGGAAAUUUGCAAGUCCGCCGGAGUAAGCAUCAAAAUGAUAACCGGGGACAAUGUUUUCACAGCUAAAGCCAUAGCCACAGAAUGUGGAAUACUUGAGAUGGAUCCCGAAGUAGACAGUGGGGUAGUAGUAGAAGGUGUCGAAUUUCGGAACUACACACACGAGGAGAGAAUGGGAAGAGUUGAUGAGAUUCGCGUGAUGGCAAGAUCAUCACCCUUUGACAAACUUCUAAUGGUGCAGUGCUUGAAGCAGAAAGGUCAUGUUGUUGCAGUAACAGGAGAUGGCACAAAUGAUGCACCUGCACUGAAAGAAGCUGAUAUAGGACUGUCUAUGGGCAUUCAAGGCACAGAGGUUGCUAAGGAAAGCUCAGAUAUUGUCAUUUUGGAUGAUAAUUUUACUUCUGUGGCAACAGUUUUAAGGUGGGGAAGAUGCGUCUACAACAACAUCCAGAAAUUUAUCCAGUUUCAACUUACUGUCAAUGUUGCAGCUCUUGUGAUUAAUUUCAUAGCAGCAGUUUCUGCGGGUGAGGUUCCUCUAACAGCAGUCCAAUUGCUAUGGGUGAAUCUCAUUAUGGACACUCUGGGAGCUCUGGCCCUGGCUACAGAACGGCCAACUGAUGAACUGAUGCAGAGGCCGCCAGUAGGUCGGACAGAGCCCCUCAUAACAAAUAUUAUGUGGAGAAACCUUCUAGCUCAAGCUCUUUACCAGAUAGCAAUCCUCUUGACUCUACAAUUCAGGGGCGAGUCUAUAUUCAAUGCGAGUCCAGAGGUAAAUGAUACAAUUAUUUUCAAUACUUUCGUGCUUUGCCAAGUAUUCAACGAGUUCAAUGCAAGGAAGUUGGAAGAGCAGAAUGUAUUCAAAGGCAUCCACAGGAACCAUCUGUUCCUUGGCAUUGUGGGCGUAACUAUUGCUCUUCAGAUUGUGAUGGUGGAGUUUCUAAAGAAGUUUGCAAGUACAGAGAAGUUAAAUUGGCUGCAAUGGACAGUUUGUAUUUUAAUAGCAGCUGUGUCAUGGCCAAUUGGUUGGGUUGUGAAACUCAUGCCUGUGCCAGGCAAACCAUUCUUCAGUUAUCUGAAGAGGCCAAUAUCCGGGUUCAGAAGGGCUAUGUGUUCAAUCUACCAUAGAAAAUCCUCUUCCUGUAGGCUUGCAAAUGAGUGUAGGAGAAGCUAAAAGCUUCAGGAAUGGCAUCUGCAGCUUCUCAUUUUGGCUAUAAAAUUCAUUGUCAUCAACAAAAUCCAGCAAGAGAAAUCGGUUUCCUUGGAUAAUUGAAGAUCUGACAAUUCACAGCCGAAAGAUGGCAGGUUAUCAAUUAAGAUUCAUUCAACAUUAGAAGCUAAUUACUGAUUACUAGUUUUGUCCCGGUAGGCAAACCCUUGUUUUCUUCCUCCUGUAUAGAAUGGGAAAAAUUAACCUGUUUUGCUACCAUUUGAUGUUCUGCAAAUUGGCCCCUCAAACAUACUAGGUAGUCAAUUUAAUCUUUAAAAUGCAACUGGUUUCAAACAUUUACUAUAAUUCCUAUAUUUUUACAAGA
rnacentral:misc_RNA from 1 species